AUGUAUUGUGGAGAAAGGGAGAUAUGUACUGGUGUUUUAUAUCCUCUGUACUUCUUGUGCUGGGAUAGACUAAUUAAUAAAUUUGCUUUUAUCCAGAAAACAUUGCUUCAAUCACCCUUUUCAUUUUCUAAACAAUAUCGCGCUUGCCAAUUAAUCUUGUUUUCUCACCUUUUACAAAUUCAGUUCAUGCACGCUACUCGUUUGAUAAUUGUCCCCAUUCAGCUUCACUUUUAUUCGAUUAUUUGA